GAUGAACGCUGGCUACAGGCUUAACACAUGCAAGUCGUGGGGAAACGGCAUUAUGUGCUUGCACAUUCUGGACGUCGACCGGCGCACGGGUGAGUAUCGCGUAUCCAACCUGCCCCUUACUUGGGGAUACCCCGUUGAAAGACGGCCUAAUACCCGAUGUGUUUCAUUGACGGCAUCCGAUAUGAAACAAAGGUUUUUCCGGUAAGGGAUGGGGAUGCGUCUGAUUAGCUAGUUGGCGGGGCAACGGCCCACCAAGGCGACGAUCAGUAGGGGUUCUGAGAGGAAGGUCCCCCACAUUGGAACUGAGACACGGUCCAAACUCCUACGGGAGGCAGCAGUGAGGAAUAUUGGUCAAUGGGCGAGAGCCUGAACCAGCCAAGUAGCGUGCAGGAAGACGGCCCUAUGGGUUGUAAACUGCUUUUGUAUGGGGAUAAAGUCAAUCACGUGUGAUUGUUUGCAGGUACCAUACGAAUAAGGACCGGCUAAUUCCGUGCCAGCAGCCGCGGUAAUACGGAAGGUCCGGGCGUUAUCCGGAUUUAUUGGGUUUAAAGGGAGCGUAGGCCGGAGAUUAAGUGUGUUGUGAAAUGUAGACGCUCAACGUCUGACUUGCAGCGCAUACUGGUUUCCUUGAGUACGCACAACGUUGGCGGAAUUCGUCGUGUAGCGGUGAAAUGCUUAGAUAUGACGAAGAACUCCGAUUGCGAAGGCAGCUGACGGGAGCGCCACUGACGCUUAAGCUCGAAGGUGCGGGUAUCGAACAGG
rnacentral:rRNA from 1 species